rnacentral:rRNA from 1 species
UACGUAGGGGGCGAGCGUUGUCCGGAAUCAUUGGGCGUAAAGCGCGUGUAGGCGGCCCGGUAAGUCCGCUGUGAAAGUCCAGGGCUCAACCCUGGGAUGCCGGUGGAUACUGUCGGGCUCGAGUCCGGAAGAGGCGAGUGGAAUUCCCGGUGUAGCGGUGGAAAUGCGCAGAUAUCAGGAGGAACACCGGUGGCGAAGGCAGCUCGCUGGGACGGUACUGACGCUGAGGUGCGAAAGCGUGGGGAGCGAACAGG